rnacentral:misc_RNA from 1 species
UUUCCGUAGGUGAACCUGCGGAAGGAUCAUUAUCGAGUUCCUGCCCCCUGGGUAGAUCUCCCACCCUUGAAUAUCUUACCAUGUUGCCUUGGCAGGGCGUCCUUGACGGCCACUGGCUUCAGCUGGUGUGUCCCUGCCAUAGGACCUUCAACUCUGCAUCAUUGGUGUCGUCUGAGUACUAUACAAUUAUAAAAACUUUCAACAACGGAUCUCUUGGUUCUGGCAUCGAUGAAGAACGCAGC